UGGAAGUAAAAGUCGUAACAAGGUUUCCGUAGGUGAACCUGCGGAAGGAUCAUUAUCGAGUUUUGACUGGGUUGUAGCUGGCCUUCCGAGGCAUGUGCACACCCUGCUCAUCCACUCUACACCUGUGCACUUACUGUGGGUUCCAGACGUUGUGAAGCGGGCUCUUUACGGAGCUUGUAAAGCGGCGUGCCUGUGCCUGCGUUUAUCACAAACUCUAUAAAGUAUUAGAAUGUGUAUUGCGAUGUAACGCAUCUAUAUACAACUUUCAGCAACGGAUCUCUUGGCUCUCGCAUCGAUGAAGAACGCAGCGAAAUGCGAUAAGUAAUGUGAAUUGCAGAAUUCAGUGAAUCAUCGAAUCUUUGAACGCACCUUGCGCUCCUUGGUAUUCCGAGGAGCAUGCCUGUUUGAGUGUCAUGAAAUCUUCAACUUACAGACCUUUGCGGGUUUGUAGGCUUGGACUUUGGAGGCUUGUCGGCCAUGUUUUGGUCGGCUCCUCUUAAAUGUAUUAGCUUGAUUCCUUGCGGAUCGGCUCUCGGUGUGAUAAUGUCUACGCCGCGACCGUGAAGCGUUUUGGCGAGCUUCUAACCGUCUCGUUUGUGAGACAGCUUUAUGACCUCUGACCUCAAAWCAGGUAGGACUACCCGCUGAACUUAAGCAUAUCAAUAAGCGGAGGAA
rnacentral:misc_RNA from 1 species